UAAUAAAGGAAUACUGAAUGGUUUUUCGCGCAUGAUUGCGUGAUCCAUGGACGAGGGAUGUCGCGAGACUUUCGGAAAGCGUAAAAUACUCGAGCCGCAGGCGAAAGUCGAGCAACAUCCCAAGUGCAUGGAUCACGCUAUCCUGCUUGGAAAACCAUUUGGUAAUUGUUUUAUA